AAGGUCUGCAGAGGGAAGGAGAGAGGCGGUGGGAAGACCCCGCAGGACAGCGUCCCCGAGACGCCGCGGUGGAGGUCAGAGACAGCUGUCGGCGGCUUCCGACACCCUGACAGCGCCGAUUAAAUAAAAUAGCUAAAUAGAAAUAAAGUGACACUUGCUUUGCAUUCCAAGGUGGCUCAGCCUGCCUUCUUUUUACUCUCCAUCCUAAAAGCACAGUUCAAAUGACAAAUAGUUUGUUGCCGAGUAUCAAUACCAUCUAUUUAUCCACCCCAGUGGGAGGCCUCACUUCCAAUGUCAUAUGGGAGG